AGGGUGUAACUGUAACUCUUGUGAUUUGAUA
rnacentral:piRNA from 1 species